GGUGGGGGCAUUGAGCAAGUUGGAGUGGAAGAGAGACUGGGAAAGAGCUGUGUUCCUGGUGGAAAGACGGGACUCUGCAGAAGGAGGGAUGGGUAAAGCACGGUGCACGUGGACAGGCAGGCCCAGGGCUAGCACAGAAGCCCCUAGGGCAUUAGGACCUCCUGCAUCCUUAGAGAAUGUGAUGUCUUGUGGUGGGACUAGGUCCGCCAGGGACUGGCAAGUCGACUAAAGAAUCAAAACAGUGAUUGGAAGGGACUUUAGGUACUACUCCUUUGUUUAAGCUCACAAAUCAGAUAUUUACCCUUUAAUGAUAUUUGACAUUUACAGUUAAAUAUAAGAAAAAUCAAGUGUGACAUUCUCCGUGCUUUUUCAAAUUACAUAAGCCUCUGGGAGAUUCUGAUAUGCCUUCCCUUUCUCUCCUUGAGUAUCUCAUGAACCUACAGCAACUUCCUACUAUGACACAAUCUCUCUAGUCUAUAGUAUCUCUGUCACAAUGGAGUCAGCAUCACGGAUAGGAAAUGCACUGCUUAAAAAAAAAAAAAUGCACUGCUUGGUCAAUUGCUUGUUGGACAGCUCCAGUUAGAAAGGUUUUUUUUGUGUUGAACAGAACUAUACCUCCUGGUGAUGUCCAUUGUUCCUGUUGCAAUCCCUGGGACAACAGAUGACACAUUACUUCCUGCUUGUCAUUAACAACUUGUUAUGAACCAGGUUCGUUUGCCCAAUGGGCAGCAAGCCAAACACUGAGAGACUGAGGUUUGCAGCAGAGUUUAUUAACACGGAAGCCAAGUGAGGAGGUAGGAGAACAAGUCUCAGAUCCACCUCCCUGAAGGUGAGGGACUUGAGAUUUUUAUUGGAUAAAGAAGCAGGUUGGUCUUAAGUGUGGGGUAAGGUGAUAGGAGGUUGGGGAAAGGUGAGGUAAUCAGUGUUCUGCAAAGGCAUAUCUGAGUUACAGGCUUCUUAAUGGGAUGCAUGUUCAAAAAUGCAGGCACUUAGCAUGAUCUGAGCUUCGAGUUUUUGGCCCUCUGAUGUCAAAAGUUCAUUCGUCAGACACCUGCACAGGCUGAGUUUUAGGAUCAGUGGUCCCAACCAGUCUUAGCCAGCUUGAACUGGACAAGAGCUGACUCCAAGUUUCUGAAAAACAGCUUUAGUCCCUGUUACUGUAGCCACUCAUAUGACAGAGGUGUUAUCUAUAGGGGUAGUUGAGGAAUCUCGUGGUAUAUUAUCUAGGCUACAUGAAGCUUGGAGGGUGUGUAACUUGAAAAAGAUAAUUUAAGCGAGCUUGUUCAGUGAAGGCAGAGGGUUUUUUAUUUUAUUUUAUUAUUAUUUUUUUUUUUUGCGGUACGCAGGCCUCUCACUGUUGUGGCCUCUCCCGUUGCAGAGCACAGGCUCCGGAUGCACAGCCUCAGCGGCCAUGGCUUACGGGCCCAGCCGCUCCGCAGCAUGUGGGAUCUUCCCGGACCGGGGCACGAACCCGCGUCCCCUGCAUCGGCAGGCGGACUCUCAACCACUGCGCCACCAGGGAAGCCCAGCAGAGGGUUUUUUAAACAAGUUGUUCCUUUACCUGCUGUUCUGUAAAACAAGCUCAAGAAUUGGGCACCAUUUCAAGCUCUUCUAAUGUUCUAGGAUAGCUAUAAGUUUGAGGUUCUUUCCUGAGUUGCCCCACAGGUUGUAGCUCUCAGCAGAGUGUUGCAUUUCUACAGCAGAGGUGAGCAAACUAUGACAGUGGUGCAUCUGUGUCUAAGUUUUGCCCGACUCGGGCAGUUUUCUCCAGCGAGAGGUCCUCAGGAGGCACCCAUUUAAGAGUCCAUGUCCCACCAAUAGGCACCAAUCCCUAACAAAGGAUGGUAAGAAACAGUAGCUACUGUUUUGCUCUUGAGCACAAUUUUCUUUCAACCGUUAUUCAGAUGAUGCAGGUGGAAACAACAAACUCACAAAAUCUAUGAUUUUUAACUUAAACUAUAUUGCUUUAAAGAAAAUGUAGGAGCCACUAUUCCCAAGGGAUUGAACACUUCACUACUCCUUCCCACAUGCCCACCAUUGCACUAGGCAUGGAUAGAUACAAAAGAAGGGAACUAUCACACCAGAAUCGAUACAUGCUCUGAAUAUGGGUUUGUCUUCCCUGACUGCUUUGCCUCCAUCUGCACCGUCAUCUGAGGGCUUAUAGGAUGCCUUAUCCACUGGAUAUACCUUAAACCAAAGAACCCAUUUUAUAGUCAAGGAGGUGUGACAAUGAGCUUGUAACCACAGAAUUCACAGCGUUUACUCAUCAGCCAGAAACAACUAGCACGAUGGAACUGUGGAAUGGCACGUUGAAGACUUAGCUAAAUUGCUGAUACAAGAUACAGCACCUUGUGAAGCUGGGGAGCUGUCCUCCAAGAUACAGUAUAUGCAUUGAACCAAUAACAUAUAUAUGGUAUUGUGUCUCCAACAGAAAGACUACAUGGAUACAGGAACCAAGGAGUCAAAAGAGGAGUGGCCCCUAUUAACCAUCAUAACCAGCAACCUAUGUGUGGAAUUUGUGCUUCCUGUCUCCCCAGUCUAGAGUCUGUUGGGACAGCAAAAACUGAUCUCAUAAAACAUCUAGGACAAAAAGGAAAGUCCUGCAGACAGACCCUGUUUGGAUCAAGUGAGCCAGUUCUUUGAACCUGAACAAUGACUGCUGAAUCAGGCAAUGCUACAGAUUUGUCUCCCCAGGCUACCCAGGAGAUGGAAGGCGCAGUGAUAGUGAAAGCGGAGGAGGAAGAGGAAGAAGAUGAGGAAGACCGUUUUCAAACAGAAAGAAAUAGCCUAGAGUUAUCACCCCAAUUUCUUAGUCGUUCCACAACUAUGAAUGAGAGAGCCUUAAUAUCAUCAUAUUUAGUGGUGUAUCGAGUGGCAAAAGAAAAAAUGGCUCACACAGCUGCUGAAAAAAUUAUUCUCCCAGCAUGUAUGGAUAUGGUACGUACCAUCUUUGAUGAUAAAUCAGCUGAUAAAUUAAGAACUAUACCUCUUAGUGAUAAUACAAUAUCUCGUCGAAUCUGUACUAUUGCAAAACAUUUAGAAGCAAUGCUUAUGACACGGCUACAGUCUGGUAUAGAUUUUGCAAGCCAACUUGAUGAGAGCACUGAUAUUGCAAGUUGUCCCACACUCUUGGUAUAUGUCAGGUAUGUGUGGCAAGAUGAUUUUAUAGAAGAUCUGUUGUGUUGUUUAAAUUUAAAUUCACAUAUAACUGGAUUAGAUUGAUUCACUGAAUUAGAAAAGUGCAUUGUUGGUCAACAUAAAUUAAGCUGGAAAAAUUGUAAAGGAAUUUCAAGUGAUGGAGCAGCAAAUAUGACUGGGAAACAUAGCAGUUAUUGAAAAAUUGUUAGAAGCCACCCAUAACAACUGUCUUUGGAAUCAUUGUUUUAUUCACCGAGAAGCUUUGGUAUCCAAAGAAAUUCCACCGAGCCUAAUGGAGGUAUUGAAACAUGCAGUGAAAAUUGUUAAUUUUAUUAAAGGAAGCUCAUCGAAUAGCCGACUUCUUGAAAUAUUGUGUCAGAGAUUGGAGUGAACCAUACCCACUUAUUGUUUCAUACAGAAGUUCGUUGGUUGUCUCAAGGAAAAGUAUUGAGCAGAGUAUACGAACUCAGGAAUGAGAUUUACAUUUUUCUCAUUGAAAAGCAAUCGCAUUUGGCAAAUAUUUUUGAAGAUGACAUUUGGGUAACAAAAUUGGCGUAUUUAAGUGACAUUUUUGGCAUUUAAAAUGAAUUAAAUUCGAAGCUACAAGGGAAAAACAAUGAUAUAUUUCAAUAUCUUGAACACGUUCAAGGAUUCCAAAAGGCAUUAUUGUUAUGGCAGGUAAGACUUAAAAGUAAUCGCCCCAGCUACUACAUGUUCCCAACGCUGUUGCAACACAUUGAAGAGAACGUUAUUCAUGAAGACUGCUUAAGAGAAAUAAAAUUAGAGAUAUUAGUACAUCUCACUUCUUUGUCUCAAAUCUUCAAUCGUUACUUUCCAGAAGAGAAAUUUGCAUUGUUAAAGGAAGCUGUUUGGAUGAAAGAUCCAUUUGCUUAUCAAACCCCAGAAUCAAUAAUUGAGUUACACUUGGUGCCUGAAGAAGAGAAUGAAUUACUGCAGCUCAGUUCGUCAUUCACACUGAGGAAUUAUUAUAGGACAUUAAGUUUAUCAGCACUUUGGAUUAAGAUUAAAGAUGAAUUUCCACUGCUAAGUAGAAAGAGUAUAUCGCUAUUAUUACCAUUCACAUCUACCUAUUUGUGUGAACUAGGAUUUUCGCUCUUGACACGAUUAAAAACAAAGAAAAGAAAUCAGCUCAACAGUGCACCUGACAUGCGUGUUGCCUUAUCUUCAUGUGUGCCUGACUGGAACGAACUCAUGAACAGACAAGCACACCCAUCACAUUAAGUACAAUCGUUACGAAAUUUUGUUUUUGUACGUUCUUAGGCACUUUUUGUAUAUUGUAUUUAAAUAUUAAUAAAAUUAUGGUUGGGAUUUACUAGGUUUCAUUUUCUUGUAUAGUAAGUAUUGUCUCGUGAAACUUGUUUGUUACAUGAAUAUGUGUGUAUGUGUAUGCAGAGUAAUGAUGUAAAAUAUAUUUCUAUGAAUUGCUGUCAA